GUUGGAGACCCCUGAACUACAGGAUAUAAUUUAGGCCACUACCAUGAUCAAAAUGUUACAAAUCUGGUAUUUUUCUUGAAUCAGGGCCUAGAAAUUUCAGCUAUACUCCAGAGAAGAAAUGACUGAUCUCAAAAGUUUUCAAAUGGUGCCUUUUUACUGAAUGGCAAUUAUUGAAUGGGUGACAUCCAAUAUAUAUAUCAUACAUAGCAUCUUAAUCAAAGUCUCUGCAAUUUCAGACAAAACAAUGGGGCCCAAUAGUAAAGGGAAACAAUCGGGUGGGCUUCAAAAAAUUUUUAGCAAAGGGUUCUCUGCUUUAAUGACUGCCUGGAUGUGGCUAGGUGGGCACGGCCAACUCAUCGCCGCUCCCACCCACUCACAUAACCCCCGCCACGCCUACCAAGGGUUUUGUUCUUCCUGUUUUCUGUGGGAAAUGGGUGUCUGUGUCCCCCUCCCUCCCAUUUCUGUUUUUCUUUUUCCACCACCUCCCUCUCUUCCUUUCUUCCCUUUUAUUUCCCCCCUCUCUCCCUCCAGCUCUCAUUUCUCUCUCUCCCCUCCAUCAUUUCUCCAUUUUUCUUUUUCUCUCAUUUAUUUCUCUCCCUUUGAUUUUUCUUUUUCAUCUCCCUUUCUUUUUUCUACCCCCCCCAUUUGUUUCCCUCUUUUCGCUGUCAUUCUCCCUCCAGCUCUCUCAUUUGUAUCUCUCCCCCUUCUCUUUCGUUUCCCUUUCCUCUCAUUCUCUCCCUCCAGCUCUCAUUUCUCUCUCCCCUUCACGUUUUUCCUCUCCCUCCAUCAUUUCUCCGUUUUUCUUUUUCUCUUUUAUUUCUCUCCCUUUGGUUUUUCUUUUUCCUCUCCCAUUCUUUUUUCUACCCCCCCCCCUUUUUUUCUCUUUUUUCUCUGUCUUUCUCUCCCUCCCGCUCUCUCAUUUCUCUCUCUCUCUCGCUCUCUCAUUUGUUUCUCUUUCCUCUCUCUCAUUCUCUCCCUUCCUCAUUUCUCUCUCUCACCUGAGCCGGCACGAAGGGGGACCGUGGCUGCCGCUGAGCUGCCCGUGAAGGACGCGGAAUCGCAAA
rnacentral:lncRNA from 1 species